rnacentral:misc_RNA from 1 species
GAUGAAGAACGCAGCGAAAUGCGAUAAGUAGUGUGAGUUGCAGAAUUCAGUGAAUCAUCGAAUCUUUGAACGCACAUUGCGCCCCUCGGUAUUCCGUGGGGCAUGCCUGUUCGAGCGUCAUUUAACCCCUCAAGCCUAGCUUGGUAUUGGGUGCUUGUCCCGCCUCUCGCGCGGCGACUCACCUCAAAGUCAUUGGCAGCCCGCAUCUCGCCGGCCGUGAGCGCAGCACAGACGCGCUCUUGGCAACGACGGAUCGGCUCUCCAAAAGCUUAUUUCAACCACUGACCUCGGAUCAGGUAGGGAUACCCGCUGAACUUAAGCAUAUCAAUAAGCGGAGGA